AUGGAGCAUUUCCAGGGCCCCCAGAGCUCUCUCGCAGCCUCCCAGCUUCCAAAUUUUAGGAAAGACAGAGCCAGCCUGGUGUGGCCUCUCAGCUGGGUACAGGGCACGCAGUCUGUGCACACUCUCAGGCUGGUCUCCUCCUCUGAGGGUCUGCAUGGUCCUUUCGGUGCCCCCUCCAAACCCUCACUUGCCUGUUCUGUUCUUCUGCCCACCACGCUUGCCUUCCACCUCCCUGGGCUGCCCAGAGAGGGCAGCAGGGGUCACCCCAGGACUGGUCUGGAUUAUAACUGCUCAGCCCUGGGCUCAGCUGGGGCAUCAGGGCAGUCAGGAUACAGAGCUGUCGUGGUCAAACUCUUCAGAGCUGUCGUGGUCAAACUCUUCCCUCUCUCUCCUCACAGAAACUGGAGCAAGAGCGUGAGGAUGUGGAGGGGGCCUCUGAGGACCCCCAUGAUGUGCCAGGAACAGCGCCUCCUGGAAGAGGCUUCCCGGGUUUGUCACCACAGGGGACUGCACGGAGGAGCCCAUGGGUCAGUGCUGCCCCCAGAGGCGCCUCCCGUGGGCGUCCACCCCACUGUCUCCCCAGCCCCACCUGCCCUAGACCCACCACGGAUCAUCCAACACCCGGUACGUCUGCCUUGAGUGAACCUGGGGGGCAGAACCAAUGGGGAGGGUGCCAUGCCUCCAGAGACCUCCCGCCUGAGCAGAGAUGUCAGUCACUCCACACCUGCGCCCACAGCAGCUUAGGGAAGUGCGCUCAAGGGGCCAUCGGCUCAGCGGCCACAGUGGCUGCAGUCCGUGUCCAGCCCUGUUGGGACAAACAUGUCCCGUAUCAUCAGGCCUCACAGGUGCCCUAAGCACUGGCUGUGUGUGUGGCGGUGGGGGGCGGGGGUGGUUAUCUCCUCAUUACAGGUAGAGGCUGGGGUCCCAGCUCAGCCCCAGGUGCUAACCUCUGCAGCAAGAGUGGAAGUAUGGGGGGAUUCUGCAUUGGCUGGGCCUGAAUUUGGGGAAGAAGUGUGUCAGCUCUUUUCCAAAACUUCCUAAUUACCAGAGGAAGCUUGGGCCCCUAGUCUCCAGACAGAAUUUUAAGGUGCAUUGAAAGGUGAAUGUGCACCCACUCCUGAGAGGCUCACCCCUGCAUAUGGCAACAGAAAGCCACUCUUCCUUAAGUAGAAGGGAUUGUAUCGGGGCGGGUGGUGCCCAGAGGAAGGAAGGGCAGCAGCUGGUCCCGGCUGGCUGUGACCUCAGGGGUUGGGAGCGUGAGUAGACGACAGGCAGGAGGUGGCCCCAGCGGGCUGUGGCCUUGCGAGGAGGAGAUGACAAGGCUGGAGGUAGCUAAGGCCAAGCUGAGAAGGUUCUGGAUGGGUCGGCCAGGGAGACCGAUGGUGCCAGCGGGCCGGGUCGUGACCUGGAGGACGUUUAUCUCCUGGGGGGACCUGGCUGCCUGUGCGGAGGGAAGGGAGAGGGAUCCAUCCAGCGGAGCUCCCAGAGCCCUGGCCCCGGCACUGUCUGUGUCUUCCCCAACUUUCUACCCCUGGAAUCUCUGCCAGGAAUGGUGGGAGAGGGGUGUAGGUGCAGGAGGCUCACCCAGUCCUCAGCGUGCUCACACUUCCCACAACUCCUUACCCCAGUCUUGCUUGGGUGUCUCAGCCUGGACUCCAGUGACACCACAGGGCAAGCAGGACCCAGGGUGGUUGGGAAGGGUUUUCCAGAGACUCUGGGGUGGAGCUGCCAUUGGCCACUCUGGCUGCCUCUCCAGUCUGCACCGGGUGGUGGGCUGUGACGACACCAAAGCUGCUGCCGCCUGUGUGUGAGCAACCUGCUAGUCGAGGGGGCUGGUAACACGCAAAGAGGGUACGACAUGUGCACCUCUGGGUUCAUAAGUCAAGCUUCACCGGAUCAGCUCUGUCGGCUUACCAGUCCAGGGCUGCCUUCCAGCUGCAGCAGCCGAGGUGAACAGUGACAACUGAAGCUGUGUGGCCACAGAGCGGGAACAGUACCCCAUCUGGCCCUUUGCAGGAUGUUUGCCAGCCCUGUCUCUGCCAUCCUUUCUGUGAACCGAGGGAGAGGGGACAGGGCAGGCCCCGGUGCAUCCAGAAGAGGAUUAAAGUGGUAAUCAACCCUAGUGCAUGCUCUGAGCUGUGGUGCAUUUGUGUUAACUCAGGAGAGAAGCUAGAGGCUGUUUCCACGCCAAGCUGCUUUGAUGCCUCUAUUAAAGCAGAAGUAGUGGACCCAGGGAUGAGCUUAGCCCACUGACACAAGAAAAUGUGGGAAACAGUAGAAAAUGCCAUGUUUCACUCAGCUUGAGCUCCAUUAUAAAAUAUUAAUACCACAGUCUUUGCACUUAAAUGUCAGACAUUUACCUUAUUACUGCCUGGAAGCUGGAUGUCUUAGAUGGAGGUGCCAGCCAACCUGAUUCCCUGAGCAUGGCCUCCUGGCUAGGGAUUGGCAGCCUUCUCAUGGUGUCUCAUGGGGCAGAGAGAGUCUGGUGUCUCUUUGUCUUAUCAAGGGCACCAGACCUAUCAACCUAGAGCCCCAUCCUUAUGCUCUCUUCACCUUUAUCACCUCCUCACAGGCCCCAUCUCCAAAUGCAGUCACUUUGGAGCUUAGGGUUUCAACAUAUGAAUUUGAGCGGGGAAUAAACAUUCAGUCCAUAACAUGCCCUGUCUUAAGUGAUAUCCAGAUGCAAGUAUUUAUCUAUUUGGACACUUGUUUAAUCUCUAGGGUUUCUUGCCUAAAAUCUCCCAUGGAUGGAUGGAUGGAUGGAUGGUGGAAGUCUGGAUGGCGGGUGGUGGGUGGUGCUGUAGAUCACUAUUCCCAGGGCUAGUCCAUUCAGAUAAUGGAUUGUCUGGCUCUUCCAGGCCCCCCCACCUCCUGCCACCAUCAUCCAGCAGCUGCCUCAGCAGCCACUCAUUGCACAGAUCCCCCCUCCCCCGGCCUUCCCCACCCAGCGGUCAGGAAGCAUCAAGGAAGGUAAGUGUCCACAGUGAAUGUUGUCAUGUUGUUGUUUGGUCACUUAGUCGUGUCCAACUCUUUGCGACCCCAUGGAUUGCAGCAUGCCAGGUUUCCCUGUCCUUCACCAUCUCCCAGAGUUUGCAUAAACUCAUGUCCAUUGAGUCGGUGAUGCCAUCCAGCCAUCUCAUCCACUG
rnacentral:lncRNA from 1 species